ensembl:miRNA gga-mir-6583 gga-mir-6583
ACCUGGGAAGGUGACAAGCAGAGGAGCUGGGAGGAUGCAGCGGGAGGUAUCUCGCUUAAUUGCACCUGACAUUUCUCUUUCAUUUCCCAGUGUGUAAUGCAUUUCUUAAU